GUCAAUGGAGAUGAGGUGGGGUAACCAUUUCGAAAUCAGGAAAGGAAGGCAAUCAAAUCAGCUGAAGCUAUUGAUUCAUUGAGCGUAUGAGGGAUAUGAAGGUACUGGAAAUAUGUUUUUAAUUUCGUCUAUACUGAAAGUAAAGAAGUAAGAACGAACUUUUUGUUUAAUUUGUAAAUCUACCUAGAAAUUGAUAAUCCGAGAAAACUGGGUCACUUUCUAUAUAGCUCGAAGGCUUUUUUUUUUUUUUUUUGUGUCCCUCGUAAGAAUGACAGUCAUCUUCCAUGCUUUUUCCUGCAAAAUAUGUUAACAGAAUUUUUUUUUUUUUUGUUUCCCAUGUUUGCAUAUGUAUUUUUAUUGUAAUUAAUUUUAGUCACCUAGUUUUGAUGGAGGUUGCUGAAUAUUUCUUUGUAGACUAUAUUGGUGAUGCCCUUUUCACCAUUUUCUCCUGAAGACUCGUCAAGUAUCUUGAGGCCUGCAGGGGAAGUCACACGGGAUAAAGCGACAUAGAGCUGUCCAUGGCUGAAUACGCUU
rnacentral:lncRNA from 1 species